AUUUGCAAUGAAAAGUUGUUUUUGCGUUUUCAUUGUGUGUCAGUGUGUGUGUGUGUGUGUGUGUGUGUGUGUGUGUGUGUGUGUGCGAUCUAUUUAUCUAUCUAACUCUAUCUCCCUCACAUUCCCUCUCUUUCCUUCCUGUAUCAAAAUUACAAUAUGUUAGACGUCAAAUAGCCGUAGAUGAAAAUGUGAUGAGUGGCCGUUAAACCCAUAUCCGUUUCCUUUCGUUCCACUGUCUUUUCUUGAAAGUGUUUGGAAAACGAGCUGACCAGUGCAGACAUGAUGAUGACUGUCCUAAUGGAGAAUGCUGUGAUCUCGGGAAUGUCAUCACACCCACUGUGGAUCUUUCCAGGGCUGCACCUCAAGCCGUCAGUGUCACGACACUCACUGCUGUCAUAACGGACAGUGUGUUCACCGAUCUCACGGCUUCUGUUAGAACUUUACGACAUUCAGUAACAGAAUCAAGAACUCAGAAUCUGCCCCAACGAUGUGUACAACAACCAUUAAACACAGACGUAUUGGUUUACAUAUUAUUACAUCUGAGAAAU
rnacentral:lncRNA from 1 species